GAGGGUAUAGCUCAGUGGUAGAGUGAGUGCUUAGCAUGCACAAGGUCCUGGGUUCAAUCCCCAGUACCUCCA
rfam:Camelus ferus unplaced genomic scaffold scaffold782, whole genome shotgun sequence.